AUUUGGAGAAAGAAAAGGAAGGACAGGAACUGGAGGGUCACUGUGAGCUAAAGUAUUCCUUGACAGCAUUGGAUGCUAGACAGGAAUGACUUUGGCAUUGAUACAGAUCCACUGCAGACCACCAGAAGGGAAACUCAGCUAGAGCUCAACCCACCUGCUGCCAGGUCACACCUUCCUACUGACCUCACUUCCACCAAGGACCUUCCUCUUACUGCCCACCACCAAUAAAGAUCCAGCCACCUCAC